rnacentral:lncRNA from 1 species
CCACCCUCAGAACAGCUGGGUCACCCUCAUGGACUGCCACCCUCAGAACAGCUGGGUCACCCUCAUGGACUGCCACCCUCAGAACAGCUGGGUCACCCUCAUGGACUGCCACCCUCAGAACAGCUGGGUCACCUCAUGGACUGCCAUCCUCAGAACAGCUGGGUCACCCUUGUGAACUGCCACCCUCAGAACAGCUGGGUCACCCUCGUGAACUGCCACCCUCAGAACAGCUGGGUCACCCUCGUGGACUGCCACCCUCAGAACAGCUGGGUCACCUCAUGGACUGCCACCACCAUGGAUGGUCUGGUGGACAAGAGAGCCCUGCAAAAGGACAAGAGAGCCCUGCAAAAGGACAAGAGAGCCCUGCAAAAGGACAAGAGAGCCCUGCAAAAGUUUUGAUCAGUCAUGGAAAAAAAAGUUGUGAAAAUAAAUUGGCUCCCUCUGUAGAAAGAAGAUGGAGAACAAGCUAUGAAGGAAAAAUACUGGAAUUUUGUUGCAGGUACAGCCAACUAGCACAAAGCGAAACGAUAUGUCGUCAAAAAUAAUAUCCCGAUAUGUAACUAUCACCUCCCCCAUCAGAUAGUGUGAUAUGUAUGCAUCAUUAUUUGCAUUCUGUUUUUGUUGUAUUGGUCUAGGGUUGAAUAACCAUGGAAGUGUAUAUACAACCCCCACCAGAGGGUGGUAGAGACUCACAAUUUCUUACACUUUCAAACAACUGUUCUGUUCAACACAAUAAUCUGAAGGAGUACAUGACACACCACCGUCUGCCUGGCAGCCAUUACCAUAGAAAGUGGUUUCAUGACAAGGCCAUCCUCAUGGAGCUCUCAGAAGACCCUCAGACUGAUAUGCAAUGGCUUUUUCCCUCGAAUUACAAGUGAAGUCCAUGGAAAUAUCAUUAGUUAUCAGCACUGUAGUUUAGUAGUAGAUGUGAACUAUUUGUUUAUGGUUCUACCAAGACCCAUUUUAUCAUCUUAAGGUUAUUUUUAUUUAACCUUUAUUUAACUAGGCAAGUCAGUUAAGAACACAUUCUUAUUUACAAUGAUGGUCUACUUGUAAAGGCCCCCAGCCAAACCCUCCCCUAACCCAUACAACGCUGGGCCAAUUGUGCGCCGCCCUAUGGGACUGCCGAUCAUGGCCGGUUGUGAUACAGCCCGGGAUCGAACCCGGGUCUGUAGUGACGCCUCUAGCACUAUGAUGAAGUACCUUAGACCGCUGCACUAUUCGGGAGGUUCUUCCUAGAACCGUCUGAAGGGUUCUACCAAGAACCCUUUUCUCUUUGGAGGUUUCUUCCUGGAACCCUCUAUGAAAUGGUUCCAUUAGCCUUCAUGACAAUACAUCACAUAUGUCAUAAGGCCUUUCUUUGAGGGCCUAGUUAUACCCUAACACCGUGGUGUUAGGAAUCUCCUGGUUUACAGGCCACAUCAGGCCGAAAUUCACAUUAUGCUGGCUUGCAAAGUGUUGGGUAAUUCCUAUUGGAAUCCAGCCAGAGUUAGGAUAUCCAACAAUAGAGUUAAUCAUCCGCAAUCUCCAGAAUGACUGCCAGGGCAGGGAAGAUUGAAUACUUCAACUACCUCAAUCAUCUAAACUGGAAUGACCAUCUCAGUACUGGUUCAAUACAUCCAACUGAUUGGAUUAGUUUAGAAAACUGUGUAUUAUUUAUCUUUGUGUAGCAUAAAAUGUAUUAACCAAUCAAUGUAAAUGCAAAAACACAUAUUACACUAAAACAAACAAAAAGAGUGUAUAUAAACAGGAGGUCAUCCACUAAAAUUGUAAGACUGGUGUUGAAUGCGUUUGGUGACACCGACCCAUGUUUGUGAGUUAGCUGCUGGAGGUGCUGUUUAAGAUACACCAGAGAGGGGACUUGAUAGUUCCAUCAGUGCGCCCUGGGGGACUGAAUGUUCUUCAUAGAUAGGGACACCAUGCUGAUGGAGACCCCCAUGCACACUGAGAGGCUGUUAGACGGGGCAUUCUUUAGAUUAAAAAAAAUACAGUCCUAUGCUGCGUCUCAAAUGGCAUCCUAUUCCAUAUAUAGAGCACUAACAUUGAACAGGGCCCCUCUUCCACUGCAGUGUCCCCCAGACAGUGACUGAUCACUGCUCAGUGUGGUGAGAUUAUAAAUUAAAGAUGCAGAGGGAUGCCUAGGAAGGGGUGCACAUGAUAAUCAUAACUGAUAAGAUGUGCUAGAUAUUAUUCAAUCAGAAAGUUUGCUAUAAUUAAGCAAUAAGGCACAAGGAGGUGUGGUAUAUGGCCAAUAUACAACAGCUAAUGACUUCUUAUGUGCAACGCGGAGUGCCUGGAUGCAGCCCUUAACCAUGGUAUAUUGGCCAUAUACCACAAACCCCUGAGGUGCCUUAUUGCUAUUAUGAACUGGUUACCAAUUUAAUUAGAGCAGUAAAAAUACAUGUUUUGUCAUACCCGUAUACAAUCUGAUAUGCCAUGGCUGUCAGCCAAUCAGCAUUCAGGGCUUGAACCACCCACUUUAAAAAACUAGGAAACACUGUCACCACCGAUAAAUCUAUGAUUAUCGAGAAUUUCAAUAAGCAUUUUUUUACGGCUGGCCUUGCUUUCCACCUGGCUACCACUACCCCGGUCAACAGCUCUGCACCCCCCACAGCAACUUGCCCAAGUCUCCCCCAUUUCUCCUUCACCCAAAUCUAGAUAGCCGAUGUUCUAAAAGAGCUGCAAAAUCUGGACCCUUACAAAUCAGCUGGGCUAGACAAUCUGGACCCUCUCUUUCUAAAAUGUUCCUCCGCAAUUGUUGCAACCCCUAUUACUAGUCUGUUCAACCUCUCUUUUGUAUCGUCUGAGAUCCCCAAAGAUUGGAAAGCUGCCGCGGUCAUCCCCCCUCUUUAAAGGGGGAGACACUAGACCUAAAUUGUUAUUAUAAACUAGCUAUCCUACCCUGCCUUUCUAAGGUCUUCGAAAGCCAAGUUAAUAAACAGAUCACUGAUCAUUUCGAAUCCCACCGUACCUUCUCCACUAUGCAAUCUGGUUCCCGAGCUGGUCAUGGGUGCACCUCAGCCACGCUCAAGGUCCUAAACGAUAUCAUAAUCGCCAUCGACAAAAGACUAUACCGCAUUCUUAUUGGCAGACUCAACAGCCUUGGUUUCUCAAAUGACUGCCUUGCCUGGUUCACCAACUACUUCUCAGAGAGUUCAGUGUGUCAAAUCGGAGGGCCUGUUGUCCGGACCUCUGGUAGUCUCUAUGGGGGUGCCACAGGAUUCA